GAAAACCAAAUAUGGGGAGAUUGGGAAAAAUGGGACUGUUUGAGUGAGGGGAGUGGAAUAGAGUGGGACGGUUGAGAUCCUCUGAUGUCACCGCCACAUUUGCAGUCGACAACUAGGUCGGAUUUUGCGCCUCGUCAUUCCCUUUACGACCCAUGUUUAUCCAUGGAUACAAACCUGUUUUUCUUUUUUAAUAAAGUGAUUGCUUUGGCAUCUUCCUUGGUUUUCUGGCAAUAUUAGAGGUGAGUGUUAGUGUUGAUGGCUCGUCUAACUACCGCGAGUUUAAUCUUCCGAAUGGGGUUCUUCCCAUUGUAGCUGGCUUCCAAUUUUCUUAGGACUUCGUAUGUUAUUGGGGUUUUGACCUGGUAUGUUUGUUUUUGUUUGUGUUUAAGUUACUUAUUUCCUAAUUUUUCUCUCAAAUUUUUAUUAAUCUGCCGAAAUGGUAAACCCCUUGUAAAAGGAUAAAAUCUCCUUACAUGAUCAUCAUCC
rnacentral:lncRNA from 1 species